rnacentral:tRNA from 1 species
UCCGGUAUGUUCUAGUGGCUAGGAUACCUCGCUUUCAUCCAGGAGGCUCGGGUUCGGUUCCCGGUACCGGAA